AUAUCUCUCCGUACGGGAAGGAUGAGAAGCUUCGACUAAGGUUCGAUUCGAGCGAAAGCGAGAAAGCGUUGCCGCAGGCAACGGCCCGAAGGGCGAAGCGCGCAGCGCUGAGUCAUCCUUCCCCCACCACCA
rnacentral:sRNA from 3 species